AACAAUAUAGUUUAAAAAAAAUUUUUACUUUGCGUGUAAAGGAUGGGAUUUGUUCCUAUUGUUG
rnacentral:tRNA from 1 species